GAUGAACGCUGGCGGCGUGCCUAAUACAUGCAAGUCGAGCGAACGGACGAGAAGCUUGCUUCUCUGAUGUUAGCGGCGGACGGGUGAGUAACACGUGGAUAACCUACCUAUAAGACUGGGAUAACUUCGGGAAACCGGAGCUAAUACCGGAUAAUAUUUUGAACCGCAUGGUUCAAAAGUGAAAGACGGUCUUGCUGUCACUUAUAGAUGGAUCCGCGCUGCAUUAGCUAGUUGGUAAGGUAACGGCUUACCAAGGCAACGAUGCAUAGCCGACCUGAGAGGGUGAUCGGCCACACUGGAACUGAGACACGGUCCAGACUCCUACGGGAGGCAGCAGUAGGGAAUCUUCCGCAAUGGGCGAAAGCCUGACGGAGCAACGCCGCGUGAGUGAUGAAGGUCUUCGGAUCGUAAAACUCUGUUAUUAGGGAAGAACAUAUGUGUAAGUAACUGUGCACAUCUUGACGGUACCUAAUCAGAAAGCCACGGCUAACUACGUGCCAGCAGCCGCGGUAAUACGUAGGUGGCAAGCGUUAUCCGGAAUUAUUGGGCGUAAAGCGCGCGUAGGCGGUUUUUUAAGUCUGAUGUGAAAGCCCACGGCUCAACCGUGGAGGGUCAUUGGAAACUGGAAAACUUGAGUGCAGAAGAGGGAAGUGGAAUUCCAUGUGUAGCGGUGAAAUGCGCAGAGAUAUGGAGGAACACCAGUGGCGAAGGCGACUUUCUGGUCUGUAACUGACGCUGAUGUGCGAAAGCGUGGGGAUCAAACAGGAUUAGAUACCCUGGUAGUCCACGCCGUAAACGAUGAGUGCUAAGUGUUAGGGGGUUUCCGCCCCUUAGUGCUGCAGCUAACGCAUUAAGCACUCCGCCUGGGGAGUACGACCGCAAGGUUGAAACUCAAAGGAAUUGACGGGGACCCGCACAAGCGGUGGAGCAUGUGGUUUGAUUCGAAGCAACGCGAAGAACCUUACCAAAUCUUGACAUCCUUUGACAACUCUAGAGAUAGAGCCUUCCCCUUCGGGGGACAAAGUGACAGGUGGUGCAUGGUUGUCGUCAGCUCGUGUCGUGAGAUGUUGGGUUAAGUCCCGCAACGAGCGCAACCCUUAAGCUUAGUUGCCAUCAUUAAGUUGGGCACUCUAAGUUGACUGCCGGUGACAAACCGGAGGAAGGUGGGGAUGACGUCAAAUCAUCAUGCCCCUUAUGGUUUGGGCUACACACGUGCUACAAUGGACAAUACAAAGGGCAGCGAAACCGCGAGGUCAAGCAAAUCCCAUAAAGUUGUUCUCAGUUCGGAUUGUAGUCUGCAACUCGACUACAUGAAGCUGGAAUCGCUAGUAAUCGUAGAUCAGCAUGCUACGGUGAAUACGUUCCCGGGUCU
rnacentral:rRNA from 1 species